AUUGAACGCUGGCGGCAGGCCUAACACAUGCAAGUCGAGCGAGCGGCGGACGGGUGAGUAAUGUAUGGGGACUGCCCGAUAGCGGGGGAUAACUACUGGAAACGGUAGCUAAUACCGCAUACUAUCGGAUAACCCAUAUGGGAUUGGAUAGAUGGUGAGGUAAUGGCUCACCAAGGCGACGAACCCUAGCUGGUCUGAGAGGAUGAUCAGCCACACUGGGACUGAGACGCGGCCCAGACUCCUACGGAGGCAGCAGUGGGGAAUAUUGCACAAUGGGCGCAAGCCUGAUGGAGCCAUGCCGCGUGUAUGAAGAAGGCCCUAGGGUUGUAAAGUACUUUCAUUCGGGAGGCGUUACCGACAGAAGAAGCACCGGCUAACUCCGUGCCAGCAGCCGCGGUAAUAC
rnacentral:rRNA from 1 species